rnacentral:rRNA from 1 species
AGUGAACGCUGGCGGUAGGCCCAACACAUGCAAGUCGAACGGCAGCACAGUAAGAGCUUGCUCUUACGGGUGGCGAGUGGCGGAUGGGUGAGGAAUACAUCGGAAUCUACUUUUUCGUGGGGGAUAACGUAGGGAAACUUACGCUAAUACCGCAUACGACCUACGGGUGAAAGCAGGGGAUCUUCGGACCUUGCGCGAUUGAAUGAGCCGAUGUCGGAUUAGCUAGUUGGCGGGGUAAAGGCCCACCAAGGCGACGAUCCGUAGCUGGUCUGAGAGGAUGAUCAGCCACACUGGAACUGAGACACGGUCCAGACUCCUACGGGAGGCAGCAGUGGGGAAUAUUGGACAAUGGGCGCAAGCCUGAUCCAGCCAUACCGCGUGGGUGAAGAAGGCCUUCGGGUUGUAAAGCCCUUUUGUUGGGAAAGAAAAGCAGCAGGUUAAUACCCCGCUGUUCUGACGGUACCCAAAGAAUAAGCACCGGCUAACUUCGUG